GAUGAACGCUGGCGGCGUGCUUAACACAUGCAAGUCGAACGAAGCAUUUAGGACAGAUUACUUCGGUUUGAAGUUCUUUAUGACUGAGUGGCGGACGGGUGAGUAACGCGUGGGUAACCUGCCUUGUACUGGGGGAUAGCAGCUGGAAACGGCUGGUAAUACCGCAUAAGCGCACAAUGUUGCAUGACAUGGUGUGAAAAACUCCGGUGGUAUAAGAUGGACCCGCGUCUGAUUAGCUAGUUGGUGAGAUAACAGCCCACCAAGGCGACGAUCAGUAGCCGACCUGAGAGGGUGACCGGCCACAUUGGGACUGAGACACGGCCCAGACUCCUACGGGAGGCAGCAGUGGGGAAUAGUGCACAAUGGAGGAAACUCUGAUGCAGCGACGCCGCGUGAGUGAAGAAGUAAUUCGUUAUGUAAAGCUCUAUCAGCAGGGAAGAUAGUGACGGUACCUGACGAAGAAGCUCCGGCUAAAUACGUG
rnacentral:rRNA from 1 species